AGUCGAGCGGACAGAUGGGAGCUUGCUCCCUGAUGUUAGCGGCGGACGGGUGAGUAACACGUGGGUAACCUGCCUGUAAGACUGGGAUAACUCCGGGAAACCGGGGCUAAUACCGGAUGGUUGUUUGAACCGCAUGGUUCAAACAUAAAAGGUGGCUUCGGCUACCACUUACAGAUGGACCCGCGGCGCAUUAGCUAGUUGGUGAGGUAACGGCUCACCAAGGCAACGAUGCGUAGCCGACCUGAGAGGGUGAUCGGCCACACUGGGACUGAGACACGGCCCAGACUCCUACGGGAGGCAGCAGUAGGGAAUCUUCCGCAAUGGACGAAAGUCUGACGGAGCAACGCCGCGUGAGUGAUGAAGGUUUUCGGAUCGUAAAGCUCUGUUGUUAGGGAAGAACAAGUACCGUUCGAAUAGGGCGGUACCUUGACGGUACCUAACCAGAAAGCCACGGCUAACUACGUGCCAGCAGCCGCGGUAAUACGUAGGUGGCAAGCGUUGUCCGGAAUUAUUGGGCGUAAAGGGCUCGCAGGCGGUUUCUUAAGUCUGAUGUGAAAGCCCCCGGCUCAACCGGGGAGGGUCAUUGGAAACUGGGGAACUUGAGUGCAGAAGAGGAGAGUGGAAUUCCACGUGUAGCGGUGAAAUGCGUAGAGAUGUGGAGGAACACCAGUGGCGAAGGCGACUCUCUGGUCUGUAACUGACGCUGAGGAGCGAA
rnacentral:rRNA from 2 species